rnacentral:rRNA from 1 species
UACGUAGGGUGCGAGCGUUGUCCGGAAUUAUUGGGCGUAAAGAGCUCGUAGGCGGUGUGUCACGUCGGCCGUGAAAACCUGCAGCUUAACUGUGGGCGUGCGGUCGAUACGGGCAUCACUGGAGUUCGGCAGGGGAGACUGGAAUUCCUGGUGUAGCGGUGAAAUGCGUAGAUAUCGGGAGGAACACCUGUGGCGAAGGCGGCCCCCCUGGUUGGAUACUGACGCUGAGACGCGAAAGCGUGGGGAGCAAACAGG